rnacentral:rRNA from 1 species
GAUGAACGCUGGCGGCGCGCCUAACACAUGCAAGUCGAACGGCACCUAUCUUCUGAUAUAAGCGAGUGGCGAACGGGUGAAUAGCACGUGGAAAACCUGCCCCCUCCCCCGGGAUAGCCGCCCGAAAGGACGGGAAAUACCGGAUACCCGCGGGCGCCGCAUGGCGCCCGGGCUAAAGCACCGGCGGGAGGGGAUGGCUCCGCGGCCCAUCAGGUAGAGGGCGGGGUGACAGCCCGCCGUGCGCGAGACGGGUAGCCGGGUUGAGAAACCGACCGGCCAGAUUGGGACUGAGACCCGGCCCACACUCCUACGGGAGGCAGCAGUGGGUAAUCUUGCACGAUGGGGGGAACCCUGACGCACCGAGGCCGCGUGCGGGACGGAGGCCUUCGGGUCGAACACUGCUUUCAGCAGGGAAGAGUCAAGACUGUACCUGCAAAAAAAGCCCCGGCCAACUACGUGCCAGCAGCCGCGGUAAUAUGUAGGGGGCGAGCGUUAUCCGGAUUCAUUGGGCGUAAAGCGCGCGUAGGCGGCCCCGCAUGCCGGGGGUCGAAGCGGGGGUCUCAACCCCCCGAAGCCCCCGGAACCUCCGUGGCUUGGGUCCGGUAGGGGAGGGUGGAACACCCGGUGUAGCGGUGGAAUGCGCAGAUAUCGGGUGGAACCCCGGUCGCGAAGGCGGCCCUCUGGGCCGAGACAGACGGUGAGGCGCGAAAGCUGGGGG